rnacentral:tRNA from 1 species
GGAGAGGUGUCCGAGUGGUUGAAGGAGCACGAUUGGAAAUCGUGUGGCUGCUUAAUAGGUGGUUCGAGAGUUCGAAUCUCUCCCUCUCCG